rnacentral:rRNA from 1 species
CGGCCUAUCAGGUAGUAGGUGGGGUAACGGCCCACCUAGCCUACGACGGGUACGGGCCCUGAGAGGGGGAGCCCGGAGAUGGGCACUGAGACAAGGGUCUAGGCCCUAAGGGGCGCAGCAGGCGCGAAGAUUCCGCAAUGCCCGAAAGGGCGACGGAGUGAACCCGAGUGCCACCCGCUGAGGGUGGCUGUUCCCCUGUGUAAAAAGCAGGGGGCAGGAAGGGGAGGGCAAGGCUGGUGGCAGCCGCCGCGGUAAAACCAGCUCCCCGAGGGGUUCCCACGCAUACUGGGCCUAAAGCGUCCGUAGCCGGCCCUGUAAGUCCGCAGUUAAAUCCGCCUGUAGACAGGCGGGCUGCUGCGGAUACUACAGGGCUAGGGAGCGGGAGGAGCCGGGGGUAUUCCCGGGGGAGCGGUAAAAUGCGUAGAUCCCGGGAGGACCACCAGUGGCGAAGGCGCCCGGCUUGAACGCGUCCGACGGUGAGGGACGAAAGCUGGGGGAGCAAACCGGAUUAGAUACCCGGGUAGUCCCAGCCGUAAACGAUGCCGGCUAGGUGCUGGCCAAGGUUUCGACCUUGGCCAGUGUCGAAGCGAAGGCAUUAAGCCGGCCGCCUGAGGAGUACGGCCGCAAGGCUGAAACUUGAAGGAAUUGACGGGGGGGCACCACAAGGGGUGAAUGCCUGCGGCUUAAUUGGACUCAACGCCGGGAAUCUUACCGGGGGCGACAGCAGGAUGAAGGUCAGGCUGAAGACCUUACCAGACGCGCUGAGGGGUGGUGCAUGGCCGUCGCCAGCUCGUGCCGUGAGGUGUCCUGUUAAGUCAGGCAACGAGCGAGACCCCCGCCCCUAGUUGCCAGCGGCCUCCUUCGGGAGGGACCGGGCAAACUAGGGGGACCGCCUCCGAAGAGGAGGAGGAAGGUGGGGGCUACGGCAGGUCAGUAUGCCCCUAAUCCCCCGGGCCGCACGCGGGCU